UAAGAGAUAAUUGCUCUGACUAUCCCAUUAGCAACUUAGCAUCGAACUAAAAAGUAAUUUGGUUUAGAUAUUAUAGUAGUAAUAGUUGGAGAAAACAUUCAUAUAAUUGUUAGAAAGUUGAUUUGACAAUGGAAAUAUCACUAUGCAUUAAAAUUGAACUUUUAAAUGAUUUCGAUUUGAGUGAUAGGAAAGAUGUUUAAAAUGAACUUAUCUAAGGUUAUCAAUUUUUUUGGCUGCAAAGUAAAAGUAAAUUGAGAAAGAGAUGCAUGGAUGAUUUGUUUAUCGUGGAAGAAACAUUCAUCAACAUGAUUCGUUGACAAGUUAUUUUUUUUUUGAUGACCGAGAAAUCUGUCUGGAGCCGAUCCUUUUGGACCAACUGCAGCCUUCGAAACUCGAUGGAUAAUGGGUUCGCCUCUCUACCCUUCUCCACUUAAAUAACAGGCUUUUGCUUUGCAUGGUGUAGGGGCUUGAACUUGUGAUCUAAGACACAAAUCCACCACCCUUUGCCACUUGAGCUAGGCCUUGAGGGCGACAAGUUAUUUUCUGAUUCCAAAAUUGUCAACAAUGAGGCAGGAACCUAAGGGUGUUGCCUAGCCUCAAAUAAAGUGAGUAAACCAUGGGAGACCAUGGUUCAAAUCCCAAUAGAGACAAAAAACUGUAGGUGAUUUUCUUCCCAUCUGUCUAAGCUUAGUGCAGUGUUUUGG
rnacentral:lncRNA from 1 species